AGAGCGAACGCUGGCGGCAGGCCUAACACAUGCAAGUCGAACGGAUCCUUCGGGAUUAGUGGCGGACGGGUGAGUAACACGUGGGAACGUGCCCUUUGGUUCGGAACAACUCAGGGAAACUUGAGCUAAUACCGGAUAAGCCUUUCGAGGGAAAGAUUUAUCGCCAUUGGAGCGGCCCGCGUAGGAUUAGCUAGUUGGUGAGGUAAAAGCUCACCAAGGCGACGAUCCUUAGCUGGUCUGAGAGGAUGAUCAGCCACAUUGGGACUGAGACACGGCCCAAACUCCUACGGGAGGCAGCAGUGGGAAUAUUGGACAAUGGGC
rnacentral:rRNA from 1 species